UGGGGUGUAAUUCAGCGGUAGAAUGACCGACUGUUAAUCGGUUCGUCGCAGGUUCGAGCCCUGCUGCCCCAGCCA
rnacentral:tRNA from 1 species